rnacentral:lncRNA from 1 species
CACACUCCAGCAAGACCCGGUCUCAAAAAAAAAAAAAAAGUAAGGAAAAGAAAAAGAAAAGAAAAGGAGUCUCCAUCCAGACCCCAAGAGAGGGUUUCGUGGAUCUUGCACAGGAAAGAAUUCAAGACCUUGACUACUUCCCAGUUGGUGGAGAGGGAAUCCAGAUGUGUAAGGAUACAUCCUAGAAGGUAGGGAUGACCCCAAGUGCAUCAUCCAGUCAAAUUGUAAGGAUUGGAAACUUCCUGAGACCUCCCCAGAAGCUGAUGCCACCAUGUUUGCUGUGCAGCCUACAGAACCGUGAGCCA